UACGGAGGGUGCGAGCGUUAUUCGGAAUUACUGGGCGUAAAGCGUACGUAGGCGGCUUGUUAAGCCAGAUGUGAAAUCCCCGGGCUCAACCUGGGAAUGGCAUUUUGAACUGGCAGGCUCGAGUUCUGAAGAGGGGGGUAGAAUUUCCAGUGUAGCGGUGAAAUGCGUAGAUAUUGGAAGGAAUACCGGUGGCGAAGGCGGCCACCUGGUCAGAAACUGACGCUGAGGUACGAAAGCGUGGGGAGCAAACAGG
rnacentral:rRNA from 1 species